rnacentral:rRNA from 1 species
AUUGAACGCUGGCGGCAGGCCUAACACAUGCAAGUCGAGCGGAUGAAGGGAGCUUGCUCCUGGAUUCAGCUGCGGACGGGUGAGUAAUGCCUAGGAAUCUGCCUGGUAGUGGGGGAUAACGUCCGGAAACGGGCGCUAAUACCGCAUACGUCCUGAGGGAGAAAGUGGGGGAUCUUCGGACCUCACGCUAUCAGAUGAGCCUAGGUCGGAUUAGCUAGUUGGUGGGGUAAAGGCCUACCAAGGCGACGAGCCGUAACUGGUCUGAGAGGAUGAUCAGUCAGACGGGAAGUGAGACACGGUCCAGACACCUAGAGGAGGAAGCGGUGGGAAAUAUUGGACGAGGGGCGAAAGCCUGAUACAGCCAUGCCGGGUGUGUGAAGAAGGUCUUCGGAUGGGAGAGCACUGUAAGUUGGGGGGAAGGGCAGUAAGUUAAUACCUUGCUGUUUUGACGGUACCAACAGAAUAAGCACCGGCUAACUUCGUG